GCUUUAGUGACAAUAUUAACGCUUAUUGCGAAGAUUCAACAAAGCUUUUUAAAACUGUGACACAAUCGUGACUUCCAAGUUAUACAUUUAAAACCGUUAAACGUUUGUGGUUUUCUCCGGUAAAGGGGAUUUUUCUAGUAUCCAGCACUAAACGGUCUAUAAUUCUCGCAAAAAAGGAAGUUGUUGAACAACAUGAAGUUCGUUGUUUCUUUGUCGGUUGUGGUCUUACUCGCAUUGGUUUUGGGUGGUGGUUGGGGAGGUAACGGAGGACGAGGUGGUCGUGGAAGUGGUAGAGGCGGUGGAGGUGGCGGAGGCAGUGGUGUUGGUGAUGGCGGCGAUGGUCACUGAAACAAAAUAAUGUUUGAACGAACAAUCAUAUUACCUCAGAAUAUGUUGAUCAUAAAAGUAAAAUAUUUAUUGAUUGAAAAUUAAAUUUUAAAUGUUUAAUGUAAGGUUAGAAAGAAGAUAAAUAUACAUACAUACUUAAUAUUUUUCAGAACUAAAAAAUUAGGACUUUUAUAUUUUAUAAUAAAGCUUCCAAUUUAUAAUUGUUAUUGUGACAGCAUAAAA